GAUGAACGCUGGCGGCGUGCCUAAUACAUGCAAGUCGAGCGAACAGACGAGGAGCUUGCUCCUUUGACGUUAGCGGCGGACGGGUGAGUAACACGUGGAUAACCUACCUAUAAGACUGGGAUAACUUCGGGAAACCGGAGCUAAUACCGGAUAACAUGUUGAACCGCAUGGUUCAACAGUGAAAGACGGUCUUGCUGUCACUUAUAGAUGGAUCCGCGCCGCAUUAGCUAGUUGGUAAGGUAACGGCUUACCAAGGCAACGAUGCGUAGCCGACCUGAGAGGGUGAUCGGCCACGCUGGAACUGAGACACGGUCCAGACUCCUACGGGAGGCAGCAGUAGGGAAUCUUCCGCAAUGGGCGAAAGCCUGACGGAGCAACGCCGCGUGAGUGAAGAAGGUCUUCGGAUCGUAAAACUCUGUUAUUAGGGAAGAACAAAUGUGUAAGUAACUAUGCACGUCUUGACGGUACCUAAUCAGAAAGCCACGGCUAACUACGUG
rnacentral:rRNA from 1 species